ACCACUUCUCUGGAGACACUGACUCAUACUUCGUUGGUAGUCAUCAUUAGGCUCAAUGAUUAUAACAGUAAAUGACUAAAGCAGUUUUGAACUCACCAUCUGAUUCAGAUCCAUGAGUGGUAUGGGACCCCCCACUGGGGUGGAAUGUGUCUUGGUCUCCUGUAAUGAGCAAUCAGGAAGAAGGGACUGCUUUUUAGUCAUCAGCACCAUGGAGGUCCAGAGGACAAAAGGCAAAACAAUAUUAUUGUGAGGAAUGUAAAGUGAUAUAAUCAGACAUUUACGCCAAUUAUAAAUCACACUGCAAAAGAACUGAAAUCAUAGCAAACAGUCUAUUGGACCACAGCGCAAUCAAAUUUGAAAUCAAGACUAAGAAACUCACUCAAAACCAUACAAUUACAUGGAAAUUAAAUAACCUGCUCCUGAAUGACUUCUGGGUAAAUAAUGAAAUUAAUGCAGAAAUCAAGAAGUUCUUUGAAACUAAUAAGAACAAAGAUACAACAUAUCAGAAUCUCUGGGACACAGCUAAGGCAGUAGUAAGAGGGAAAUUUAUAGCACUAAAUUUAAACGCCCACAUAAAAAAGUUAGAAAGAUCUCAAGUUAACAAAAAUAAAUAAAUAAAAUAAAUCAUAUAUAAGCAAUCCAUUAUUGUUAAAACAAAUCACUAACUCUAGAGUGAAAGAAACCCAACUUUUAAGAUGAAGAAAUGUAGUUUGCACUUAAUGUACGAAGAGGUAUAUAAAACAGAAAAAUCAGAGAACCACCACCAGACGCACCUUUUGAUUAAAAGUAACAGUGUAACGGCAGCUAAUGGAUGCACCUCCACCAAAGACACUGCAAAAGUACCCAUAAUUGAUUGAUUCUUAUCAAUAGCUGAAGCCAACUAGGUUUUAUAAUCCUUACUGCUUGAUGUCAGAGUAGAAGUUGUUGGAUGGUCUUUAUCUUCUUCCAAGCCUUCAUGUGAUGUAGAGAAGCUCUGAGAAUUACUCUGCUCUGUUUCAAUGAGGAAUGAAUCCAGUGUUAAUUUGAAGCUACGGUACAAAUCCUGUUAUCUGCUAGCAAGGAAAAUCUAGCUAGAGUAGAGUCAGAUGGAUAGGUGCAUAGGAAGACCAAGGUUUGUGCACACAAUUCUCCUCUGAUUGAUAGAAAUAUACAGAAGAAUUCUAUUUUGCCCCUAUUUGGUUCUGAAGACCCUUUAUUUCUCAGUAUAAUCAUCAAAGGUAAAGUGGCAAGGUGAAGACUGAGCCAAAACUUUGCCUAUCCUGGAUUGUCCAGGCUCAAUUGCAGCAUUGCUCCCAGUCACUCCAGAAAACCAGAGAACACAGAGACAUGGAAAAAAG